AUUGAACGCUGGCGGCAUGCCUUACACAUGCAAGUCGAACGGCAGCAUGGAGAGCUUGCUCUCUGAUGGCAAGUGGCGAACGGGUGAGUAAUGCAUCGGAACGUACCGUGUAAUGGGGGAUAACGUAGCGAAAGUUACGCUAAUACCGCAUACGACCUGAGGGUGAAAGCAGGGGAUCGCAAGACCUUGCGUUAUACGAGCGGCCGAUGUCAGAUUAGCUAGUUGGUGAGGUAAAGGCUCACCAAGGCGACGAUCUGUAGCGGGUCUGAGAGGAUGAUCCGCCACACUGGGACUGAGACACGGCCCAGCCUCCUACGGGAGGCAGCAGUGGGGAAUUUUGGACAAUGGGGGCAACCCUGAUCCAGCCAUGCCGCGUGAGUGAAGAAGGCCUUCGGGUUGUAAAGCUCUUUCGGCCGGGAAGAAAUCGCACAGGCUAAUACUCUGUGUGGAUGACGGUACCGGCAUAAGAAGCACCGGCUAACUACGUGCCAGCCGCCGCAGUAA
rnacentral:rRNA from 1 species